CCCAACAGCACUAAAACAGAGAAUACGAGACUGGUUCACUUCUGGAUCGAAUCCUCCACUAUCAGGAGUGUAAACGGUACACUACAGUACCUCCCUGAACCUCUGCUGGUGUUCCAGGGCAGUUUUGAUGGGAUUCCUCUUCCUCUGCACGAUCAGACUGUGUCAGCAUCCAGUGACCUGAGCUCACUGAAUCAUCAGACGCAUCAGACUCCCUUCUCUGUUGAGGAUACAGCGGCAGUGCAUCUGUCGAAGUGUUCAGGUUUGUUUACUCUGAAACAGAAAAAAGCACCAUAGCCGUCUAUGUGUCUGUGUCAGGACACGGUCACAGAUCUCACCCUCCAGUCCCGAGGAAACAAGGCGUCCACCAGCCUGAUGAAGU